rnacentral:lncRNA from 12 species
GCUUUCUCACUGUGUCUCCUGAACCCAUGGCCCUUUCUCUGGUUCUCUUGGGCCUCCUCCAGCACAGCCCUGCGUCUGAGGAGGAGGAAGCACUCUGUCCCACCUGCUGGAAGUCUGUGAUUGCGUGAGAGCAAGGCAGGAGGCCAAGUGCUGAUAAAUCUCUUCCUCCUGGGAAGUGCCAGGCAAUGCCCCCAAAACGGAAGUGAUCUGUGGGCCAAUCUGCUAAUGAUUUAUUGCUGGAUCCUUGGGCCUGGCACCAUGGCACCGGCUGCAGCCGGCCUGUCUGUAGAAUCUUCCCAGCGGGCAUCAGAGAGCUCGAGGUUCCUGUACCCACCCAGCCUAAGAACUGGUGCUAAAGCCACUUGCCCUGCAGACUGCCUACAGAUUUCCAAAGUUCAAGAAUUGCAUGGUCCCUGGAUGCCCAUUGGAUGCUCCCUGCCCGAAGUCCCAUGGCAUUUGGGAAAGUACCGUGGUAAAGAGUGUUUUACCUGGAGUCAGGCAGGUUCAAGGCGAUGA